AUACACUCCCAGGUCUUUCUCUGCCUUUGUGGUGGAUAAUGGAGUGUUUCCCAUGUGGUAUUGGUGUGCUGGAUAUCCCUUCACUGGUAGCCUGGUAACAUACACUCCCAGGUCUUUCUCUGCCUCUGUGGUGGAUAGUGGAGUGUUUCCCAUGUGGUAUUGGUGUGCUUGAUAUCCCUUCACUGGUAGCCUGGUAACAUACACUCCCAGGUCUUUCUCUGCCUCUGUGGUGGAUAGUGGAGUGUUUCCCAUGUGGUAUUGGUGUGCUGGAUAUCCCUUCACUGGUAGCCUGGUAACAUACACUCCCAGGUCUUUCUCUGCCUCUGUGGUGGAUAGUGGAGUGUUUCCCAUGUGGUAUUGGUGUGCUGGAUAUCCCUUCACUGGUAGCCUGGUAACAUACACUCCCAGGUCUUUCUCUGCCUCUGUGGUGGAUAGUGGAGUGUUUCCCAUGUGGUAUUGGUGUGCUGGAUAUCCUUCACUGGUAGCCUGGUAACAUACACUCCCAGGUCUUUCUCUGCCUCUGUGGUGGAUAGUGGAGUGUUUCCCAUGUGGUAUUGGUGCUGGAUAUCCCUUCACUGGUAGCCUGGUAACAUACACUCCCAGGUCUUUCUCUGCCUCUGUGGUGGAUAGUGGAGUGUUUCCCAUGUGGUAUUGGUGUGCUGGAUAUCCCUUCACUGGUAGCCUGGUAACAUACACUCCCAGGUCUUUCUCUGCCUCUGUGGUGGAUAGUGGAGUGUUUCCCAUGUGGUAUUGGUGUGCUGGAUAUCCCUUCACUAGUAGCCUG